AUUGAACGCUGGCGGCAGGCCUAACACAUGCACGUCGAACGAGUGGCGGACGGGUGAGUAAUGUCUGGGAAACUGCCUGAUGGAGGGGGAUAACUACUGGAAACGGUAGCUAAUACCGCAUACCAUCAGAUGUGCCCAGAUGGGAUUAGCUAGUUGUUGGGGUAACGGCGCACCAAGGCGACGAUCCCUAGCGGGUCUGAGAGGAUGACCAGACACACUGGAACUGAGACACGGGCCAGACUCCUACGGGAGGCAGAAGUGGGGAAUAUUGCACAAUGGGCACAGGCCUGAUGCAGCCAUGCCGCGUGUAUGAAGAAGGCCUUCGGGUUGUAAAGUACUGGCAGCGGGGAGGCGUUACCCGCAGAAGAAGCAACGGCUAACUCCGUGCCAGCCGCCGCGGUAAUAC
rnacentral:rRNA from 1 species